rnacentral:rRNA from 1 species
UACAAAAACAUGUUUUUUUGAUUUUUUUUUAAAGUUUGACCUGCCCAGUGAAUUAAAUUUUUAACGGCCGCAGUAUUUUGACUGUGCAAAGGUAGCAUAAUCAAUAGUCUUUUAAUUGAAGGCUUGAAUGAAUGGUUGGACGAGAUAUUAACUGUUUCAUUUUAAUUUAUAAUAGAAUUUUAUUUUUUAGUCAAAAAGCUAAAAUGAAUUUAAAAGACGAGAAGACCCUAUAAAUCUUUAUAUUUAAUUUAUUAUAAAUUUAUAGAUGUUUUUUUUUAUGAUAAUUAUAAUAUUUUAUUGGGGUGAUAUUAAAAUUUAAAAAACUUUUAAUUUUUUUUUUACAUUAAUUUAUGAUUUAUUGAUCCUUUAUUAUUGAUUAAAAAAUUAAGUUACUUUAGGGAUAACAGCGUAAUUUUUUUGGAAAGUUCAUAUCCAUAAAAAAUAUUGCGACCCCCAUGUUGGAUUAAAAAAUAAUUUUAGGGGGAGUCCCUUAAAUUUUAAGUCUGUUCCACUUUUAAUUUCUUACAUG